rnacentral:rRNA from 1 species
GACGGAGGAUGCAAGUGUUAUCCGGAAUCACUGGGCGUAAAGCGUCUGUAGGUGGUUCGAAAAGUCCACUGUUAAAAAUUGAAGCUUAACUUCAAAGAUGCCGUGGAAACUUUCAAACUAGAGUGUGGUAGGGGUAGAGGGAAUUUCCAGUGGAGCGGUGAAAUGCGUAGAGAUGUGGAGGAACACCGAUGGCGAAGGCAGCCUUCUGGGCCAACACUGACGCUCAUGCACGAAAGCGUGGGGAGCAAACAGG